CCACGGGGGUAUGCUUAGUACGGCGAGUGAGCGGCAAAAGCUCAAAUUUGAAAUCUGGUACCUUCGGUGCCCGAGUUGUAAUUUGGAGAGGGCAACUUUGGGGCCGUUCCUUGUCUAUGUUCCUUGGAACAGGACGUCAUAGAGGGUGAGAAUCCCGUGUGGCGAGGAGUGCGGUUCUUUGUAAAGUGCCUUCGAAGAGUCGAGUUGUUUGGGAAUGCAGCUCUAAGUGGGUGGUAAAUUCCAUCUAAAGCUAAAUAUUGGCGAGAGACCGAUAGCGAACAAGUACAGUGAUGGAAAGAUGAAAAGAACUUUGAAAAGAGAGUGAAAAAGUACGUGAAAUUGUUGAAAGGGAAGGGCAUUUGAUCAGACAUGGUGUUUUGUGCCCUCUGCUCCUUGUGGGUAGGGGAAUCUCGCAUUUCACUGGGCCAGCAUCAGUUUUGGUGGCAGGAUAAAUCCAUAGGAAUGUAGCUUGCCUCGGUAAGUAUUAUAGCCUGUGGGAAUACUGCCAGCUGGGACUGAGGACUGCGACGUAAGUCAAGGAUGCUGGCAUAAUGGUUAUAUGCCGCCCGUCUUGAACCCCCGAAACCA
rnacentral:rRNA from 1 species